rnacentral:rRNA from 1 species
UACGGGGGGAGCAAGCGUUGUUCGGAUUUACUGGGCGUAAAGGGCGCGUAGGCGGUCGUGACAAGUCACUUGUGAAAUCUCCGGGCUUAACUCGGAACGGUCAAGUGAUACUGUCGGACUAGAGUACAGAAGGGGCAACUGGAAUUCUCGGUGUAGCGGUGAAAUGCGUAGAUAUCGAGAGGAACACCGGUGGCGAAGGCGGUUCUCUGGGCCUGUACUGACGCUGAGGAACGAAAGCGUGGGGAGCGAACAGG